GAUGAACGCUGGCGGCGUGCCUAAUACAUGCAAGUCGAGCGAACAGACGAGGAGCUUGCUCCUUUGACGUUUGCGGCGGACGUGUGAGUAACACGUGUAUAACCCACCUAUCUGACUGGGAUCAUUUCGGGACACCGGCGCUAAUACCGGAUAAUAUCUUGAACCGCAUGGUUCAAUAGUGAAAGACGGCUUUGCUGUCACUUAUAGAUGGAUCUCGGCCGCAUUAGCUAGUUGGUACGGUAACGGCCUACCAAGGCUACGAUGCGUAGCCGACCUGAGAGAGGGAUAGGCGGCCCUGGAGCUGGGACGCGGUCCAGACUACUACGAGAGGCAGCAGUAGGGAACCUGCCGCAGUAGGGGAGAGCAUGACGGAGCAAGGGCGAGUGAGUGAUGAAGGUCUUGGGAUCGUAAAACUCUGUUAUUGGGGAAGAACAGAUGUGUAAGUAGAUAUGCACGUCUUGACGGUACCGGGUCAGAAAGCCACGGCUAACUACGUG
rnacentral:rRNA from 1 species